rnacentral:rRNA from 1 species
GAUGAACGCUGGCGGCGUGCCUAAUACAUGCAAGUCGAGCGAACAGACGAGGAGCUUGCUCCUCUGACGUUAGCGGCGGACGGGUGAGUAACACGUGGAUAACCUACCUAUAAGACUGGGAUAACUUCGGGAAACCGGAGCUAAUACCGGAUAAUAUAUUGAACCGCAUGGUUCAAUAGUGAAAGACGGUUUUGCUGUCACUUAUAGAUGGAUCCGCGCCGCAUUAGCUAGUUGGUAAGGUAACGGCUUACCAAGGCAACGAUGCGUAGCCGACCUGAGAGGGUGAUCGGCCACACUGGAACUGAGACACGGUCCAGACUCCUACGGGAGGCAGCAGUAGGGAAUCUUCCGCAAUGGGCGAAAGCUUGACGGAGCAACGCCGCGUGAGUGAUGAAGGUCUUCGGAUCGUAAAGCUCUGUUGUUAGGAAAGAACAAAUGUGUAAGUUACUAUGCACGUCUUGACGGUACCUAAUCAGAAAGCAACGGCUAACUACGUG